UGAGAGCGUACACAGGUGCUGCAUGGCUGUCGUCAGCUCGUGUCGUGAGAUGUGGUUAAGUCCCGCAACGAGCGCAACCCUGCAUUCAGUUGCCAUCGGUAAGGCCGGGGCACUCUGGAUGGACUGCCGGCGACAAGCCGGAGGAAGGUGGGGACGACGUCAAGUCAUCAUGGCCCUUAUGUCCAGGGCGACACACGUGCUACAAUGGCCGGCACAACGGGAAGCGAAGGGGCGACCCUGAGCGGAUCCCACAAAAGCCGGUCUCAGUUCGGAUUGCAGUCUGCAACUCGACUGCAUGAAGUUGGAAUCGCUAGUAAUCGUGGAUCAGCCAAGCCGCGGUGAAUACGUUCCCGGGCCUU
rnacentral:rRNA from 1 species